AAUAUUUGACAGAUGUCGCUCGUCGCUUGUCGUCGUCUAUGUGUUCAUCACAUGACAUAUUCACAUGUGUACGUACAUGAGGAGGUAUAUCGUUUUAUCUGACAGCGUGAGGUUUAUGAACUUCAUUUAUAAUUUUGUCUUGUGGCAUAUUAGAAAUGAUGUUUCUUCGAUGAUCGCUCGGUUACAACGGAUAAAACGACUUCUGA